UCUUUGAAAUUAAUGGUUUAGAUCUAUCUAAUUUAAAAAGUAAUGGCUCGGAUUUAUUCUUAAAAAUAUAUCUCUCACAAACUAUCUUUAAUGGUUUAGAUUUGUCUAAUUUAAAAACAAUGGCUGAGAUUGAAAAGAGUUUCAAUGGUUUAGAUUUAUCAAUCACUAAAAUUCAAUGGUUCAGAUUUGUUUACCAAUCUACUCUCACCAACCCACUGCACUUACCAGGUUCAGAUUUGGUUCAGAUUUCUUUACAUCAUAUGUAUCAUCUGUAUCAUUUGAACAAAGCUCUGAGAAAGCUUUGAAGAAGGAAGAAAGCUCUCUUCUCCACCAUCACCAGCGAUGGUGUGGGUGGUUCUAGGCAGGGGAUAAUGAUGAAAGACGUGAUAUGAAGUAUAUUGAAAGGUUGAUCCUAAAUUUGGACAUUCAAGUUAAGAAAUAAGUGUUUUUACAGCAUGGACAUUGUGCUGCUGCUUUGUGGAACCACGGAUUGCAAAGUUUAUGGUUUAAUUGUUCUAGCUGAUCUUUAGGAGUUAAGUUUGUGAAUCUUUUAUUCCAGUUACAAGAUUAGGGGCUUUACACAGGAAAUAAGAGUGAAAGAUGUGACUGUAAAAGGGCAGUAGGGCCUUUUUUUUUUUUUUAUUGGUAUGAAAGUUUUAUUGACUACAACUGUUGCGGAAAUUUAUUAUUAUUUUUUUUGAAUUUUUGUUAAUACUGAAGAAAAAAUUCUGAAGCAAAACAUUUGUUUAUGGGUCAAGAUGAUUUGUUUGUGUUUCUUCACUUACUCAGCCUCUCUUUCCCAUGUUAAGAGAUGGAUUCAUCUCUUUCUUUUAUUGAACCCUUCAUUGAUUUCAUUGAAAUGUGUUUUAUUCUGUCAUGAACAAUAGUAGGUGUGUAUUGGGUUAGAUUGGGUACUGAAUUAGAUUGGAUUAGGUUUUUUUAAGAUUGUUUAAUCUCUUUGAUUUGUGUUUUGUACUAAGAUUGUGAGAUAAGGUCAAGCUUUGUUUGUGAUUGAGGGAUGGAAAUUGUUUGGAGUUUAUUUCAAUGUCUGACUUUGUUAUUAAUUUUUAAGAAAUCUUGAGGUUGCACCCUGUUAUUAUUUCAAUAUCUGACUCUGUUCUAUAGAUGGGGUUGGUGAUUGUGGCUUUAUUUUUGGAUCUUUGGGGUGUUCUCAACUUGAUCAAACAAUAUCGCAAAAACAAACCCAAAAAAGAAAAAAAAAAAUUGAUCAAACAAGCUAAAUUUUAUAAGUUUGAUUCACCAAGUGGGACUCUGUUUGCACCCUGUUUUAUUUAUAGCAAAAAGAUCUGGUGCCAACAAGAGGGGUUUGCACCCUGUUUUGUUUAUGGAAAAAGAUUGAGGCCUCGAACGUGGCUCGAAAUUGGUUUUUUUUUUUCUUUCUUUCUUUUUCUUUGAAACUGUGUUGGUUUGGUUGUUUUUAUUAUUAUUUUAUUAUUUAUUUGUUGGGUUGUG